ACCAUGCAGUCACUGAGAAUGGAAGAUGCGACGUACGACAUUGAUUUGAUUUACCCCUUGUACUACAAAUAUAAUUAAUCGACAGAUAAAAAGAUAAAGCAUCAAAUCCUAUGUGAGCGGUAUGAACGAACAAAGCAGACAAAGCAGAAGCAUAAGAUAUGGAUCUGAUUAUGUUCAUGAGAAAGAACCAUCAGAGCAUAUCUAUGAGAGUACACGUGAGAGCAGAUUGGAAAAUGGAUCUGAUUUUGUGGUAAUCAAGAGAUACAAUAAAUUAAGUAUAAAUAUUGUUUAUUAACCCCCUCUUCCUUUAGCAACUACGCUACUUGCAAUUACUUGAGUAUGUCUAAAUGUAUCCUGGUGAUCUUCAGAUAAAAGAUACCACAUACAGUGGUCUGACACAUCUGUUUCAUAUUUGAAUAUUUAACUGGAAAAAGCAUUAAUGGUAAUCAAAAAACAGUUCUGUGAUAAGCAUGAUGAC